CGUCUCCUCUCCAGCGUGCUCUCUCUGGGCGGCUUCUCCACUCUGCCCUAGGAGCCGCGUGAUCUUGGUUCUGGCGGGUGACUGCAGCAAAUUUCCAAUGUCUGAUCAAGAACGAUGGCCCCCGUCUCUGUGACUUCCUGGAGAGCCACUUCCUAGAUGAGGUGAAACCCAUCAAGAAGUUGGAUGACCACCUGGCCAACCUCCGCAGGCUGGCCUGCCCCGAGGCCAGGCUGGGCGACUAUCUAUUCAAGAGGCUCAUCCUCAAGCACGACUCGAAACUUGCAGAGCCAAGCAGAUUUCAAAGGACGUCCCCUGAAUUCCCCUAGCAUUGGGAUUUCUGCCUGAGCCUCACCCUCUAGCCACUAGGCAGCUUUUAAACCAGCCUGAAGCCCUUUCCCAAACCU